AAUAAACAGUAGUCAUCUUCAGAGCAGAGCAGAACGGAAAGUGCAUGGCACUGGAGGGCACCUACAACAGACCCUUCUCAGCCCACUAUGCAUUUACAUGGGUUUUCAUCAACCACCAGAUUGGGUUCAGGAGACCAAGAAUGCAUUUCAAUGGCUGGGAUUCCAUGUACAAUUUAAAUGAAAAUCCCAACAUCCUGUUUAUUGGACAUUUGGACAAGAAGGGAACUGGCAAGAUGGGGUUCCUCUCUGCAGUGAAGCCCAACCAGGAAUAGAGCCAAAAGAAGCAAUGCAAAAGCAGAUUCACCCCACCUUGUUCUGUUGGACCUCAACCACUGACCUUUAUGUGGGCUCUGAGGAAGGUCUCCUGAUGCUUGUGACCCCUGAGACAGGGAACGUGACUAUGCUUCAUAACCUGUGUGAGAAGCAUCCUCCUGGAGGUAGAGAAAUAGCUUUUUGAUAUAAGUUAACAGUACUUCAUUGUGCUCAGGUGUAAUUCUUUCCAUGAUGAUCCCAGCAGAAUGUCUUCGGGUUUUCCAGCUUCACAUUUCAGGAAUACAGAAUUCCAUGCUCAUUCUACCAGCGUAUUGAUAUGUUGUUUUUUCCUAUGAAUUAGAUAGCCCCAAUGUCCUGCAACAGGGAAGCCUGGACAGUCUGGCCCGCACAAGGAUGGACUUUAUGCAGCAGGGACUAAUCAACAGCCCAAGGAAAUGGGGCUCUCCACUGUCUUCAACAAGUACAACAGACUUAUAAAGGUCCUGGCUCUAGUUACUCUGGAGGAAGCAGCAAACAUUAAGGAAGGGACCCGACUGGAGAUGUUCACACUGCUACACCAGCUAUUUACAGGAGCUCUAAGAGGUCAGACAAACAACCAUGGAGCCUUGAAUUGAUGACAUCCUGCAGAAACACCUGUGUGAAAUAGCACAGCCACUCUCUUCAGCGGUCCUGGGAACAAACAAUAGGGUCUACAGCUACUGUAACAGGUCCAAGUCCACCCAGAAGUUCAUGCUGGCUGAGUGCUCAGGGGGACAUGAAGGGAGUCAUAUCUGUGACCCCAGAAAAGGAAGUUGAAGGUCAUCAGCUUGGUCCAGCGUCCCUUAUUUUGUCUCCUCAUCAGCAGUGGUUGGCCUCGGUCAGCAAGGAUGGGCUGCUCAGCAUUUGAGAUUUCCAAUUUAGUAAGUACUGCCUGAAUAAGACAAGGGGUAGACUUGAUCAACCUCUACCCUGCAGGGAUAAAUAAGAAGUCAAGCCCUAAGUCAAGUAAAGAACACAUUACAACAACAACCAAAUAAGCAUUUUACGCAAUAUAAUAAUUGAACAUCAAUUUCUUUUUUUUUGCAAUACUUUUAUUGUCUAAAAAAAUAAUACCAUAUUGUAAUAUACUGCAUAAUUAUUUCAUGUUUUUGACCUAAAAAAUCAUGUAUCACAAAACCUUCUCCAAGAAUAACCCCACCCUUUCCCCAAGCCUUCCCCACCCCACUAGUGAUACCAAAGAAAUACAAGGGUAACGUUAUUUGACAUGAUUUCAUGGCGUUUCUUUAAUGUAACAAUUUCCUACUUUUUGGACACAGGGGAGUUAUGUCCAGGUGCAGUGCCACUUGUACAGGACUGAUGGGAUUCAUUCAGUGUCCUUCUCAGUGGACAGUCAUGCCAUGUUGACCACUAGCUUCAGUAAUGGUGCCCUUGUCUGUGUUAAAUGGAGGUAUACAUAUGAUCUUAUAGAUAUUCGCAUACAUGCUGUAUGGAAAUAUCUAUUUAUUCUAUUUGUACAGGGAUUUUACAGACAUAUCCCAUUAUUGUACAGUAGGUAGGCUCCUACUCAAUUCUGAAUCAGAGGCCAUUGGAAAGUGACAUGAAAAAAAGUUUAUAAAAAUAGUUAAUAAAAGCUGUUACUUCUGUCUUUUUUGAUGUGCAAAGAGUCAAUACACCUGGCAAAAUUAAUUUCGCCAUUGAGUAUAGCUAUGUCAUGUUGCAACUGGAGACCUCUGUGAUGUUGGAAAAUGAGUUUCAUGGAAAUGCCUAAGUGGAAACCAGCUAAAGACACACCACCUUCAUCUGCGGUAGAGAAAGAGGCACAGGUUUGGUUACUUGAAUUUAUUUGGGCACCCAUAUACCAGCAUUCUAGUGAGGCCGCUACAUUGAGGAUGCACCUUCUCAUUAGCUUAGCCUUAGCAAACUAGGCUGCAGUGCAGUCGCAUCUCUAGCAGUGCUGGUGUGAAUUCAUUACCUUAUUUUUGCAUUCAGGAGGCCAGUCAGAAGAAGAAUGUGGAGGUGACUGAGGACCACAGUUACACCAGCCUACUUUUAGUCAGCCUUAUGGAUGCCACUUGGCUCGAUGAGAAGCUGGAUGAGGUCAAGCUUAUUGUUUAUUACCCUCUGCUGGAUAUAAUGGAGUUGUCUGAGGUGUCACCCUUGCAUUCACAAAAACAUAUACAAAGCAAUGUCACAUUACAGUCAACUUUGUGGAUGAAAGCAAUUGAAGACUAUGUACUGUCUAUCUCACCCAACUGUAUUAACCCUUUGCACCUACACUAUUCAAAGCUUGUGUACUUGUUAUGAAGUUCGUGAUGCUCAUGAUCACUCGCUUUUUCAGUGAAAUCUCUGAAAGUGUUCUCUUGCUUUCUUGCAGUCGGGUACAACUUGUUUAAUUUGUAAUUGGUAUGUGGUACGUCCAUUUUCUAAAAACAAAAUACAUAGAAUUAAAAGGGGGUUUUAUACUGAAAGUGUCAGCUUCAGAGGGAUUUACUGCAGGGGCAUUGCAUAGCAGAGCCAGUGCUUACAUCAGUUCAUAAGAGAAAAAAACUAAGUUGUACAAAACAUUAAAAUGGAAACAAUCCAAGAUUUCUAGCUUGGGUUUUUUGGCUUACCUCAGGAAAUGUGCAUGGGAGAUAAUUGUAAUAAUUACAAUACACAAAACAGAGAUGACUCCAAAUCUAGUGGGAAAUUCCCUUCACAUGCUUGUCUUGUCAAGUGUUUCUGAUGUUUGUUUAUUGUAAUUAUAUUUUACAGGCAAUCAAAGAGGAGAGCCUGGAGCCUGAGGAAAGGCAUUAAAGAGCUUUGGAGGACAGUAAGCAUCAUGGGCUAAAUGCAACAAAGAAAGAGUCUAAUGAUUAGGAAAUAUUAACCACACAAAUAUCUAACUGGUGCAUUGCAGUGUUAUGCAAUAGUUAAAAGGUUCUUUAAUGGUCUUCAUUAACUCACUGUGAAGGACCUGCCAAGUGUAUCGUACUGUUUUUAUGAACCAAAACUUGCAUUUUAUAAACCCCUAUAAAUGAUUUUAACCCUUUAAAAGGUUUAUUAAUGAUGCAAUUCUCAAUGCCGUUUUGUUUUCUGUUAAAAACGACUGUAAUGUAGAAUGAUUAUCUUGGGCCUAUCAUUUUAAUUUUUGUUUUCCAACAGCUCCAGUCUGUGUUUUUGUAACUACUGUCUACAUGCUUCUGGUUUAAACCCAAACUUUGGUACCAGACUGGGUUUUUAGAGUACUUUAGCUCCAUGCAAUCCCUUUGCAGAUCCAGGCUAUGAUGCGUGAGAAUGAAUCAUUGCCUGAGAUUGAGAAACUUCAACAGCAGGAGUUUAACCUGGACGUGGAAGAGCAGAAUAGGUUGCAAGUUGAGGGGGAACAGGAAGUUGCCAGGAUCUGCAAUGAAAUUAAGCUGGGGAACCAAACCAGAGCUGGAGGGCAAAGGUCAAGCGAUUAAGGCAUUCUGCUCAGAAUAUGAAGUGAAGAACUAUCCAAUGAAGGAGUGAACUCAGAAGGAGAUUGAGGAGCUGGUACAAAUUAGCCAUCUGAGGAAGAUCAGAAUAGAAGCGGAAAACAAAAGUGAUAGCCAAGAUUGAGAAACAAAGAAGGCUGGCUGCAACGAGUGCAUUUUAACAAGGACACAAGCCCAAGAGGUUGCCAUCCUCAGAGCAGAGGUUGAGAGGCUGAGAAUGAAGACUUUCCCUUCGUU